CCUACGGGAGGCAGCAGUGGGGAAUCUUGCGCAAUGGGCGAAAGCCUGACGCAGCCAUGCCGCGUGAAUGAUGAAGGUCUUAGGAUUGUAAAAUUCUUUCACCGGGGACGAUAAUGACGGUACCCGGAGAAGAAGCCCCGGCUAACUUCGUGCCAGCAGCCGCGGUAAUACGAAGGGGGCUAGCGUUGCUCGGAAUUACUGGGCGUAAAGGGAGCGUAGGCGGAUAGUUUAGUCAGAGGUGAAAGCCCAGGGCUCAACCUUGGAAUUGCCUUUGAUACUGGCUAUCUUGAGUAUAGGAGAGGUAUGCGGAACUCCGAGUGUAGAGGUGAAAUUCGUAGAUAUUCGGAAGAACACCAGUGGCGAAGGCGGCAUACUGGCCCAUUACUGACGCUGAGGCUCGAAAGCGUGGGGAGCAAACAGGAUUAGAUACCCUGGUAGUCCACGCUGUAAACGAUGAGUGCUAGUUGUCGGCAUGCAUGCAUGUCGGUGACGCAGCUACGACAUAAGACACUCCGCCGUCGGGGUAGGUACGGUCGGCGAAGAAGUUAAAACGUUAAAACGUUAAGUAAGUUAGACGGCGUGAGACGUGCCGACGGACGACGACGAGGGAGGUUAGG
rnacentral:rRNA from 1 species